rnacentral:rRNA from 1 species
CCUACGGGAGGCUGCAGUGAGGAAUAUUGGUCAAUGGGCGAGAGCCUGAACCAGCCAAGUCGCGUGAAGGAUGAAGGAUCUAUGGUUUGUAAACUUCUUUUAUAUGGGAAUAAAGUGAGGAACGUGUUCCUUUUUGUAUGUACCAUAUGAAUAAGCAUCGGCUAACUCCGUGCCAGCAGCCGCGGUAAUACGGAGGAUGCGAGCGUUAUCCGGAUUUAUUGGGUUUAAAGGGUGCGUAGGUGGUUAAUUAAGUCAGCGGUGAAAGUUUGUGGCUCAACCAUAAAAUUGCCGUUGAAACUGGUAGUCUUGAGUACAGUUGAGGUAGGCGGAAUUCGUGGUGUAGCGGUGAAAUGCUUAGAUAUCACGAAGAACUCCGAUUGCGAAGGCAGCUUACUAAACUGCCACUGACAUUGAUGCUCGAAAGUGUGGGUAUCAAACAGGAUUAGAUACCCGGGUAGUC